GGAGAGGUGGCUGAGCGGUUGAAAGCGCCUGACUCGAAAUCAGGUAGAGGGGUUGACCUUCUCGUGGGUUCAAAUCCCACUCUCUCCGCCA
rnacentral:tRNA from 3 species